GUCUCUGCAGAUUAAUAAUCCUCACAUUUUUAAAUGGGAGCAGAUAACCAUACUUUGGUGAGAGAAUUCAUUCUCUUUGGCCUGUCCAGUGACUGGGACACUCGGGUUGCUCUCUCUGUCCUGUUCUUGGUUAUGUACCUGGUGACAGUGCCGGGGAACUUCCUCAUUAUUCUUCUGAUCAGACUGGACAGCCGACUCCACACUCCCAUGUAUUUCUUUCUCACCAACCUCUCCCUUGUUAAUGUGUCUUAUGCCACAAGCAUUGUCCCUCAGAUGCUAGUGCAUUUUCUCACAGAACAUAAAGGAAUCCCAAAUGUGAGCUGUGCAGCCCAGUUAUUUUCCUCCCUGGGCCUGGGUGGGAUUGAGUUUGUUCUACUGGCAGUGAUGGCCUAUGACCACUAUGUGGCUGUGUGUGACCCGCUGAGAUACUUGGUCAUCAUGCAUGGAGGGCUCUGUAUUAGGUUGGCGAUCACAUCCUGGGUCAGUGCCUCUGUCAACUCUCUCAUGCAGCCCACCAUCACCUUUCAGUUGCCCAUGUGCACAACAAGUAUAUUGAUCACAUAUCCUGCGAACUCCUAGCUGUGGUCAGGCUGGCCUGUGUGGACACCUCCUCCAAUGAGAUCGCAAUCAUGGUUUCUAGUAUUGUUCUGCUGAUGACACCUUUCUGCUCGGUUCUCUUGUCCUACAUCCAGAUCAUCUCCACCACCCUAAGGAUCCAGUCCACAGAGGGGCGAAAGGAAGCCUUCCACACCUGUGCCUCUCACCUCGCAGUGGUUGUCCUGUGCUAUGGCAUGGCCAUUUUCACUUACAUCCAACCACGCUCCAGCCCUUCUAUCCUUCAGGAGAAGUUGAUCUCUCUCUUCUAUGCCAUUUUGACACCCAUGCUGAACCCCAUGAUUUACAGUCUGAGGAGUAAGGAGGUGAAGGAGGCCUUUCAGAAAAUACUAGGGCAAUUAUCCGGAUUAACGUCAAAUCUGGCAACUUGAUGAAUCAUGAGCAUCACUUAGAGAAGAGAGCUUUGCUUGUAUGCUUUCCCACCCAACUCAGAUAUGAAGCAUUGUAACUGCAUUGCCCU